AUUGCCCAGUGAAUGCAGGGUCAAUACUCUUCACGCUCUCCUUGCCCAUAGCCCCUCGGAGCCAGGGCCGGGGCUUGGAGGAGUCAGGAGAGGUGGAGACCCUGGAUUGCGCUCCCACCACAGUGUCUAGGGAUGAGAGGGGCUGCCUGCCUGGGAACCAGCUUGAGCCCUUUAUGGUUUCCUGUUGGUGCCUCCUUGACACAGGGCACAGGUUCAAGGCCCUCCCGUCUCUACCUGGAGCUGUCUCCAGCCUGCUGCCUGGCCUCGGGGCAUGAGCGGAGGAACGUGUGUCCCCACAGUGCCCGGGCCUGGGCUGCUGGUGGGAAUGAUGGUCUUUCCAGGAUGUCAGGGAGGCACACCCCACUGGGAAGCAGGAGGGAGAGUCCUUGGACUUGGGGGUUGGAGUUCAGGCCCCUGUUUUAUGAUGGAGAAAUGGAGGCCCCGAGAGGCCCAGAGGCUGGCCCAGAGGCUGACCCACAGGCCUACGGCAGAUUCGUGCCUGAGACGACCGUGGGUCCCAGGCCUCCUCUUUCCCUUCCAGGGCAUCCUGGCCUGAGGCCCGUGGAGCCGCUGGUGAUCCGUGAGUGGGCCUCAGGGGGUCUUGUGUCCAACUGAUAUGUCUGUGCUUGUUCUACAGAGGGCCCUUGGAUGGCAUCAGAGCUUACAAGGUGCCCCGACCGGUGAUGAACCAUGGGACCUCCUAGGAGUACUGUGCGGGCCGCCUUCGCUUCUCAGCUGCCCCUCAGGGUGCAUUGUACCCCCGCGGGAGCCAUGGAGGGAAGCUGUGAGAACGCCCACCUCUGCAUCAUGUCCUGUCGAGGGCCUGGGUCUCUCCUAAGCUGGAUCUAGGCCAUCCCUGAGCACAGGCUGUGGGAAAGAAAGCCUGGGAUGGGAGUGGGGGCCAUUCGCAGGUCUUCUGUUGUGCCACGAAGACCCGAACCCUCUUCAGAUCCCAGCCUGUCCUUCCCGUGUUGUAAGGCCCUAAACCAAAGGGGGCCCUCAGGCUUGAGUCAGACACAUGGGAUCUGGUCUCUCUGCUCAGUAACGAUGGCUCAUUGGGCAGCUGGCUAAGCUGCUCCAAGUCUCUGUUUUUGUGUUUGCAAAUGGGAAUGCCAUUCAGAAUUCCAGAAGCCUGGAGAGUAUCUGCCAGGGCCCUGUGCUAGGCACAGGGGCCCAGAAAUGGAUUCCAGGCUCCCUGCCCUGGGGGAGCCCAGUCCGGCCAAGGGGGCAGCUGUGUCUGGAGAGGCAGUGUACUCUCUGGGGCACCCAGCACAUGUGGGCACCGUCCUGGAGACCAGGAUUCCAGACAAUGCUGGUGGCAACAGUCCCAGCCUCUCAGGAGCCUGGGUCCAGCAGGAGAGAUGCCGGAUCCAGACCAGGAGCGGAGACCGAGUCGCAGGGCUGGCAAGGGCAGAGGCUUGGAAGAGAGGGAGAAGAACCCCUGGCGUCGCACCCACGUGGGCCUGAUCAUAGUUGAAGACCGCACGCUGGGGCCGGGGGGACCCCAGGAGAGCUGCGCUGCGUGUGUCUCCAUGGGAAAAUCGAGGCUCUGAGAGAAGACGUCCAAGAUACAGCAGUGGGCAGGGGGAGGAGGCCCACCCCCCUCAGCCGGGUCUCCACCCCCACGAUGCUGCACUCUGUUCAGAGAGGAGGAAUUGCUCCUGCCGUAACGUGAGCUGGACAGGAGACACUCUGCUGGAUACAGCCCACCUUUUCACAGAGGGAACAUUUUUCUCUUUGUAGUUGAAAGAAAGGAAUUACAGAGUACCAACUGUAUGCAGGAUGUAAUGAAGGAGGCAGUAUAGUCAAGGCAGGCCUCAUAUCCUGGAAAGACCACAGCUCCGGGUUCAAAUCUGGACACUGCCAGCUCCAUGGGAGCCUGUCUCCACAUCUGUGACCUGGGAGCCCUUGGCCCUGAGCAGAAGCAUCUCUGUGGGGACAGAGCGGGGUGAUUUGCAUGUGUCCAGUGUCUGACCGAUGCUCCUUCAGGUCUGCCUGCUUUUGGGACAGGAGUUGUGCCUAGCCCAGCACCUUCCGAGGAGCAGGGCUCAGUGGCUUCCGUCUGUUGGCCGCAUCCCAUUACAGAAAUAGCUCUUUGCAGAUGUGGCUUCACCAUGAACAGCAUUUCUCAAACCACGUUCCCAGAAACAUCUUGCUCCUCCUGGUGUGAACCAAGAAUUCUUAAGUCAAAGAUAUUCUCGGGAGACAUCAGAUCAAACACUUAGUGGCUUUUUAAAUUAAAUUAAAUUAAAAAAAAAUUUUUAAAGACAGAGUCUUGCUAUGUUACGCAGGCUGGACUGGAGCUCCUGGGCCCAAUCCUACCCACUCAGCCUCCCGAGUAGCUGGGAUUACAGGCAUCCCUCACCACGCCCGGCUCAAUGGCUUUGUACUUUUAUUUGCAGACUUUCUUAGAGCCCUUGAUGUGGCAAUGCAAAUGGUCAGGGAAUUCCCACUUUGCCAGUGUGUCAGCAGCCCUGGGCCUGGCACUUUGAGACAGGAGCUGAGUCAUACUCAUUUCCGUGUCUCAUGUCACUUUUGCACACAGGGAAACCCUAGCUGGCACCCUGCCCUCAGGGGGUGCCUGACAGUGGCCACUGAUUAAAAUAUGGGCUAAAAAGAAGCACUAAAACAACAACAUGCUGGAGAUCAGGGGAAGGGCCAAUUAUUUUCAAUCAGAGGAUCCAGGAAGACUGCCUGUAGGAGGAGACAUUGGAACUGAGCAUGAAGGAUGAGCCUAGAGACCAGGGCACACAGAAGAUUACACCUCAGCCUGUGCAGUGCGGACAGGGGCAGGUGACCGGCGCUGGUAAAUACAAAGUGAACAGAAGUGACAGUGGGAGCCUCUGGACGGCGGAGGAGGCUGCAGGGACUGGAUGGUGCAGCCACAAUAUGGUGGAGUCUUUGUCAGCCUGGAUCCCCGAGUGACCGCGUGGAGCAGUGUUCCCACAGGGGGCACUCAGUGUGAGCAAGAAAUAAACCUUAGUGUGUGCACC